GGAGCUGUUGCUCAGUAGCAGAGCAUCUGCUUUGCAUGCAGAAGGUCCCGGGUGCAAACCCCGCCGUCUCCA